CGCGAAGAACCUUACCAGGGCUUGACAUGUCAGGAGUAGGAAUCCGAAAGGAGGACGACCUGUAUCCAGUCAGGAACUGUCACAGGUGCUGCAUGGCUGUCGUCAGCUCGUGCCGUGAGGUGUUGGGUUAAGUCCCGCAACGAGCGCAACCCUUGUCCUAUGUUAAAUUCUCAUGGGAGACUGCCUUGUACAGCAAGGAGGAAGGGAAGGAUGACGUCAAGUCAGCAUGGCCUUUAUGUCCUGGGCUACACACACGCUACAAUGGGUGAUACAGAGGGUUGCCAAGGAGCGAUCCGGAGCCAAUCCCACAAAAUCAUCCUCAGUUCGGAUUGCAGGCUGAAACCGCCUGCAUGAAGUCGGAGUUGCUAGUAACCGCAGGUCAGCUACACUGCGGUGAAUACGUUCUCGGUCUGUGUACACACCGCCCGUCACGCCAUGGGAGUUGGCAACACCCAAAGUCGACAGGCUAACCCCGAUUUAUCGGGGAGGCAGUCGCCUAAGGUGGGGCUGGUGACUGUGACGAAGUCGUAACAAGGUAACCUUAAUUAAAA
rnacentral:rRNA from 1 species